CACAGUACAGGCUGGAGAGAGGGCAGGCUCGAAGGCUUCUGCACAUGCUGCUUUCCUUGUGGAAGGAAGACUUUCAGGGGCCGGUUCCGCUGCAGCUGCUGCUGAGCCCAAGAAAUGUGGGGCUUCUGGCAGACACAAGGCCAAGGGAGGUGAGUCAGACUGAGCAAGAAGGCAUCUCAGCCCUCUGCAGUCACACUCUGAACAUCCACCACCCUUGCCCCAAACUAUGAGCUGCUUCUGCUUCCUUUAUUUCCCCUUCCUGGUUCCACACGGAAAUGGACUCCAUUUAUCUAUCUCAAGUCUCUUCCCAGCAGCUCUGCCCUUUGAGAUCUCAAUCUGUGUCAUCAGGCUCACUCUGCCGUCCUCCUAGCAACCCUGACCUCAGUGUGUUUUGCAGUGGGACUUGCUGCUAUUCUUGCUCCGGGAGCUGGUGGAGAAGGGUCUGAUGCGACGGAUGGAGAUAGAGGCCUGCCUGGGCAGCCUCCACCAGGCCCAGUGGCCAGGGGUAAGGGGUCUCCUGUCUUACAUGGAGAGAGAACAGGUGUUACAUAUCCCAUCUGUCCUGAAAGGAAGCAAGUGAUGGGGCCAAACUAAGUGGAUUUUUGUCAAGAGUCUUCAGGGCCACCCUCAAAUUGUCCCGAUUUGAGUAGCUAUUAUAUGAGGGACUGUGUUAGUGGGAAGACGGAUGAAAGGCAGGCAGUUAGUUGGAAAGCAGCACAGCCCAUUAUGUGGGUUUUUAAAAUUAGAAUAACCUGGAUUUUAAUCUCAGCUAAUUUUUUUUUAUGAUUUGGGGCAAAAUAAUUCAUCUUUUAAUUCAUCUUUUACUGGGACUAAUAAUUUCAAGAUGAAGUAGAUGCACUCAGUAGUACUCAAAAACUGGUCAAGCCUAUGCCUCCAUCAGAGUUCACUCCCUGCCAUAACUUCAGCCUCCCAGAGUACUAACAGACAAGGUUUCAUGUCCAUUUCAGUGUAGAGGGCAGUUGAGAAAAAAUAAUGCAGCCAGCCAGGUUGUGGUCUUUAGUGAAAACGGAUGAGCCAUUGAGAAUUAUUACAUGCUGCCUUUUCCCUCAUCUUUCUAUGUAUUCCAGGACUUUGCUGAAGAAUUAGCAACACUGUCUAACCUGUUUCUAGCCGAGCCCCACCUGCCAGAACCCCAGCUAAGAGCUUGUGAGUUGGUGCAGCCAAACCGGGGCACUGUGCUGGCCCAGAGCUAGGGCUGAGAAGUGGCCCUGCCUUGGGCAUCGCACCAGAACCCUGGACCCCCGCCUCACGAGGAGGCCCAAGUGCCCAAUGCAGACCUUCACUGGUUGGGGUGUAGCUGGGUCUACAGUCAGACUUCCUGCUCUAAGAGUGUCACUGCCCGGCAUCCCACCAUGCGAAUCCUAGAGGAAGGAGAGUUGGCCUGAUUUGGGAUUAUGGCAGAAAAGCCCAGAGAUGCCAGUCUUGGAGUAGAAGAGGUGGUGUUUAUCUCUUGGAUACUAAAUGAAAUGAGGUGUGUGGGCUUGUCAACACAGAAUUCAAGCCUCAUUUGCUAUCCCAGCAACUCUUAAAACUUCGUAGUCUUGGAAUUCAUGACAGAGGCAAAUGACUUCUGCUUAACUUAUGAAGAAACUUAAAACAUGAAUCUUGGGAGUCUACAUUUUCUUAUCACCAGGAGCUGGACUGCCAUCUCCUUAUAAAUGCCUAACACGGGCCGGGUGUGGUGGCUCAUACCUGUAAUCCCAGCACUUUGAGAGGCCUGAGGUAGGCGGAUUGCUUGAGGUCAGGAAUUCGAGACCAGCCUGGCCAACACAUGGCGAAACCCUGUCUCUACUAAAAAUACAAAAACCAGCUGGGCAUGGUAGUGUGUGCCUGUAAUCCCAGCUACUCGGGAGGAUGAGGCAGGAGACCUGCUUGAACCUGGAGGUUGGAGGUUGCAAUGAGCCAAGGUCGCACCACUGCACUCCAGUCUGGGUAACAGAGCGAGACUUUCUAGAAAAAGCCUAACAGAUAAGGUAGGACUCAACCAACUGAAAUCUGACUUCCCCCCGCUGUACCUUCAGCCCCUGUGCAGUUAGUAACUCUUGAGACCUCUCCCUGACCAGGGACCAAGCACAGGGCAUUUAGAGCUUUUUAAAAUAAACUGGUUUUCUUUAA
rnacentral:sRNA from 1 species